GGGGGGGGGGGGGGGGGGGCGGGGGGGGGGCAGGGGGGGGGGGGGGGGGGGGGGGGGGGGGGGUGCGCGGGGGGCGGACGGGUGAGUAACACGUGAGUAACCUGCCCUGGACUUGGGGAGGACUUCAGGAAACUGGGGCUAAUACCGGGUAGGAGCUGCUGCUGCAUGGUGGGGGUUGGAAAGUUUCGGCGGUUGGGGAUGGACUCGCGGCUUAUCAGCGUGUUGGUGGGGUAGUGGCUUACCAAGGCUUUGACGGGUAGCCGGCCUGAGAGGGUGACCGGCCACAUUGGGACUGAGAUACGGCCCAGACUCCUACGGGAGGCAGCAGUGGGGAAUAUUGCACAAUGGGCGGAAGCCUGAUGCAGCAACGCCGCGUGCGGGAUGACGGCCUUCGGGUUGUAAACCGCUUUCGCCUGUGACGAAGCGUGAGUGACGGUAAUGGGUAAAGAAGCACCGGCUAACUACGUG
rnacentral:rRNA from 1 species